rnacentral:rRNA from 1 species
GGUGGGAGGCUUUGAAGUGUGGACGCCAGUCUGCAUGGAGCCGACCUUGAAAUACCACCCUUUAAUGUUUGAUGUUCUAACGUUGACCCGUAAUCCGGGUUGCGGACAGUGUCUGGUGGGUAGUUUGACUGGGGCGGUCUCCUCCUAAAGAGUAACGGAGGAGCACGAAGGUUGGCUAAUCCUGGUCGGACAUCAGGAGGUUAGUGCAAUGGCAUAAGCCAGCUUGACUGCGAGCGUGACGGCGCGAGCAGGUGCGAAAGCAGGUCAUAGUGAUCCGGUGGUUCUGAAUGGAAGGGCCAUCGCUCAACGGAUAAAAGGUACUCCGGGGAUAACAGGCUGAUACCGCCCAAGAGUUCAUAUCGACGGCGGUGUUUGGCACCUCGAUGUCGGCUCAUCACAUCCUGGGGCUGAAGUAGGUCCCAAGGGUAUGGCUGUUCGCCAUUUAAAGUGGUACGCGAGCUGGGUUUAGAACGUCGUGAGACAGUUCGGUCCCUAUCUGCCGUGGGCGCUGGAGAACUGAGGGGGGCUGCUCCUAGUACGAGAGGACCGGAGUGGACGCAUCACUGGUGUUCGGGUUGUCAUGCCAAUGGCACUGCCCGGUAGCUAAAUGCGGAAGAGAUAAGUGCUGAAAGCAUCUAAGCACGAAACUUGCC